rnacentral:sRNA from 7 species
GCUGUAGCAAAAUCUGCAGCCGGGCGUAGGAACCCGAUUACACAAAGGCGCUACAGCGCCCUUACCAUUGCAGGCGCUUUUUU